AGGGAGAUUCUCACACCUUAGCCAUUCUUUUUAGGUGACAAAUCUCAGGAACGAUCCCAGAUUGACAUAUCAAUAGAAGUUUUGGAACAAAUAGGUAAAUUAAACAGUACUAAGUCAGCAGGACCAAAUGGUAUUCACGCAAGAGUUCUGAAGGAACUCAAGCAUGAAAUAGCAAAACUACUAACUGUGGUACGUAACCUAUCACUUAAAUCAGCUUCUGUACCCAAUGACUGGAGCACAGCUAAUGUAAUACCAAUUUUUGAAAAAGGCUCCAGAGCCGAUCCCAGCAAUUAUAGACCAGUUAGACUAACUUCAGUACCAGGCAAAUUGAUUGAACCAAUAGUAAAGAACACAAUUAUCAGACAUAUAGAUGAACAUGAUUUAUUGGGGGAAAGUCAACGUGGCUUUUGUAAACAGAAAUCAUGCCUCACCAAUCUAUUAGAAUUCUUUGAGGGGGUGAACAAACAUGUGAUCAAGGGUGAUCCAGUGGAUAUUGUGUAUUUGGACUGUUUCAGAAAGCUUGUAACA